rnacentral:rRNA from 1 species
CCUACGGGUGGCAGCAGUGGGGAAUAUUGGACAAUGGGGGGAACCCUGAUCCAGCCAUGCCGCGUGUGUGAAGAAGGCCCUCGGGUUGUAAAGCACUUUCAGUGAGGAAGAACGCCUGGUGGUUAAUACCCAUCAGGAAAGACAUCACUCACAGAAGAAGCACCGGCUAACUCCGUGCCAGCAGCCGCGGUAAUACGGUGGGUGCGAGCGUUAAUCGGAAUUACUGGGCGUAAAGCGCGCGUAGGUGGCUUGAUAAGCCGGUUGUGAAAGCCCCGGGCUCAACCUGGGAACGGCAUCCGGAACUGUCAAGCUAGAGUGCAGGAGAGGAAGGUAGAAUUCCCGGUGUAGCGGUGAAAUGCGUAGAGCUCGGGAGGAAUACCAGUGGCGAAGGCGGCCUUCUGGACUGACACUGACACUGAGGUGCGAAAGCGUGGGUAGCAAACAGGAUUAGAUACCCUUGUAGUC